UACGGGGGGGGCAAGCGUUGUUCGGAAUUACUGGGCGUAAAGCGUGCGCAGGCGGUUUUGUAAGUCUGUCGUGAAAUCCCCGGGCUUAACCUGGGAAUGGCGAUGGAGACUGCAAGGCUAGAGUUUGGCAGAGGGGGGUAGAAUUCCACGUGUAGCAGUGAAAUGCGUAGAGAUGUGGAGGAACACCAAUGGCGAAGGCGGCCUGCUGGGCAGUGGCUGACGCUGAGGCGCGACAGCGUGGGGAGCAAACAGG
rnacentral:rRNA from 1 species